CCCUUAGAUGUUCUGGGCCGCACGCGUGCUACACUGAGUGAUCAGCGGGUCAGGUUGCGCGAAAGUGUUUCCUAAUCUUUAAAUCCGCUCGUGAUGGGGAUUGACGGUUGCAAUUUUCCGUCAUGAACGAGGAAUACCUUGUAAGCGCGGGUCAUCAUCCCGCGCUGAAUACGUCCCUGCCCUUUGUACACACCGCCCGUCGCUCCUACCGAUUGAGUGGUCCGGUGAGGCUUUGGGAUCUGAGCGGAAAGAGCGUUUCGCUGUUUCUGCCCGGAAAACUCAGUCGAACCUUAUCAUUUAGAGGAAGGAGAAGUCGUAACA
rnacentral:rRNA from 1 species